rnacentral:rRNA from 1 species
GACGAAGGGGGCUAGCGUUGUUCGGAAUUACUGGGCGUAAAGCGAGUGUAGGUGGUUGUCCCAGUUGGAUGUGAAAGCCUUGAGCUCAACUCAAGAAAUGCAUUCAGGACUGGAUGACUAGAGGACCGGAGAGGAUAGUGGAAUUCCCAGUGUAGUGGUGAAAUACGUAGAGAUUGGGAAGAACACCAGUGGCGAAGGCGGCUAUCUGGACGGUUUCUGACACUAAGACUCGAAAGCGUGGGGAGCAAACAGG